rnacentral:pre_miRNA from 1 species
AGUAGAAUUGCUGGGUAAUAUGGUAAAUUGUGUUUAACUUUUUUGGAAACUGCCAAUUUGUUUUCUAAAGUGGCUGUAGCAUUUACAUUCCCACCAGCAAU